AAUCAACGCUGGCGGCGUGCCUAACACAUGCAAGUCGAACGCGAAAGCCCCGCAAGGGGUCAGUAGCGUGGCAAACGGGUGAGUAACACGUGGGUGACCUGCCUUCGAGUGGGGGAUAACGUCCCGAAAGGGACGCUAAUACCGCAUAACAUCCUGCCUUUGAACAGGCGGUGAUCAAAGCUGGGGACCGCAAGGCCUAGCGCUGGAAGAGGGGCCCGCGCCUGAUUAGCUAGNGGUGGGGUAACGGCUCACCAAGGCGACGAUCAGUAUCCGGCCUGAGAGGGCGGACGGACACACUGGGACUGAGACACGGCCCAGACUCCUACGGGAGGCAGCAGUGGGGAAUUGUUCGCAAUGGGCGCAAGCCUGACGACGCAACGCCGCGUGGAGGAUGAAGACCU
rnacentral:rRNA from 1 species